UUUUGGCCCUCUGCAAAGCCAAUUCCCCGGGGCUGGUUUUUCUUUUUGAAAAUAGACAAGCCUCAAGCAAGAUGGAGAAGAUCAAGUUUAGAUUGCAGAUGAGAGGAUUUGCAUGUGUAUCCAGUGAUGGGCUCAGUGGGGGCCUGGCCCUCUAUUUGGAUGAAAAUUUACAAGUGACAGUUUUGGACUCGUGUGCACGGUAUAUAGACGUGCGUAUUGUAGAUGGAGCAAAUGAUAAAACAUGGAGGACGACCUAUGUGUACGGAGAACCACGGGUGGAUAACAGACACCGUAUGUGGAGUGCUCUAUCAAAUUUACGUGCCACCUCCUCGGAGCCGUGGCUAGUGUGUGGGGAUUUCAAUGAAGCCAUGUGGCAACAUGAACACGUUUCUCAUACGCAACGAUCGGAGGCUCAAUUGCAGCAAUUCAGGGAUUGUCUACUGGCCUGUGAAUUAAUGGACUUGGGGUUCUCCGGGAUCCCGUAUACAUAUGACAAUGGACAAGUGGGCAACAGAAACGUCCGGGUUCGGUUGGAUAGAGCAUGUGCUGAUGAA
rnacentral:rRNA from 1 species